UACGAAGGGGGCUAGCGUUGCUCGGAAUCACUGGGCGUAAAGGGUGCGUAGGCGGGUCUUUAAGUCAGGGGUGAAAUCCUGGAGCUCAACUCCAGAACUGCCUUUGAUACUGAAGAUCUUGAGGUCGGGAGAGGUGAGUGGAACUGCGAGUGUAGAGGUGAAAUUCGUAGAUAUUCGCAAGAACACCAGUGGCGAAGGCGGCGCACUGGCCCGAUACUGACGCUGAGGCACGAAAGCGUGGGGAGCAAACAGG
rnacentral:rRNA from 1 species